rnacentral:rRNA from 1 species
UACGUAGGGACCAAGCGUUGUUCGGAUUUACUGGGCGUAAAGGGCGCGUAGGCGGCGCUGUAAGUCACUUGUGAAAUCUCCGGGCUUAACUCGGAACGGUCAAGUGAUACUGCAGUGCUAGAGUGCGGAAGGGGCAAUCGGAAUUCUUGGUGUAGCGGUGAAAUGCGUAGAUAUCAAGAGGAACACCUGAGGUGAAGACGGGUUGCUGGGCCGACACUGACGCUGACAGCGCGAAAGCCAGGGGAGCAAACGGG